rnacentral:sRNA from 1 species
GCCGGGCGUGGUGGUGCCUGCUUGCAAUCCCAGCAGCUCAGGAGGCUGAGGCGGGAGGAUCGCAAGGUGGAGGCCAGCCUCGGCCACUUAGCGAGAGGCCCUGAGCGACUCAGCAAGACCCUGUCUCUC